AGACCCGAAACCCGGUGAUCUAGCCAUGGGCAGGUUGAAGGUUGGGUAACACUAACUGGAGGACCGAACCGACUAAUGUUGAAAAAUUAGCGGAUGACCUGUGGCUGGGGGUGAAAGGCCAAUCAAACCGGGAGAUAGCUGGUUCUCCCCGAAAGCUAUUUAGGUAGCGCCUCGUGAAUUCAUCUCCGGGGGUAGAGCACUGUUUCGGCUAGGGGGCCAUCCCGGCUUACCAACCCGAUGCAAACUGCGAAUACCGGAGAAUGUUAUCACGGGAGACACACGGCGGGUGCUAACGUCCGUCGUGAAGAGGGAAACAACCCAGACCGCCAGCUAAGGUCCCAAAGUCAUGGUUAAGUGGGAAACGAUGUGGGAAGGCCCAGACAGCCAGGAUGUUGGCUUAGAAGCAGCCAUCAUUUAAAGAAAGCGUAAUAGCUCACUGGUCGAGUCGGCCUGCGCGGAAGAUGUAACGGGGCUAAACCAUGCACCGAAGCUGCGGCAGCGACACUGUGUGUUGUUGGGUAGGGGAGCGUUCUGUAAGCCUGUGAAGGUGGCCUGUGAGGGUUGCUGGAGGUAUCAGAAGUGCGAAUGCUGACAUAAGUAACGAUAAAGCGGGUGAAAAGCCCGCUCGCCGGAAGACCAAGGGUUCCUGUCCAACGUUAAUCGGGGCAGGGUGAGUCGACCCCUAAGGCGAGGCCGAAAGGCGUAGUCGAUGGGAAACGGGUUAAUAUUCCCGUACUUGGUGUUACUGCGAAGGGGGGACGGAGAAGGCUAUGUUGGCCGGGCGACGGUUGUCCCGGUUUAAGCGUGUAGGUGUGUGUUCCAGGUAAAUCCGGUUCACUUUAACACUGAGGCGUGACGACGAGGCACUACGGUGCUGAAGCAACAAAUGCCCUGCUUCCAGGAAAAGCCUCUAAGCAUCAGGUAACAUCAAAUCGUACCCCAAACCGACACAGGUGGUCAGGUAGAGAAUACCAAGGCGC
rnacentral:rRNA from 1 species